UCCGGCUGAAGGUUCUUACGGCGCCGCAUGAAGUCGAACAAGCUUAAACACUUCGAGGCUUCGUUUGGUCAUAGUCACGUGACAUGGGUGUUUUGAAUCAAGCUUCGGAUCAGUGUUUCGACACAUCUGCGCUUCGGGAUCUCGCAAAGCUUCGGAACGACUGUUUGGCGUCAGCCAUCCCAUUUCCAUCCUCAUCUUACGUUACCUCCGAAUGCAUCGCUAGCUGCAAACAGUAGUUUAGCACAACUCAACAGCGCCUCUUUUUUUCUUCACUAGAUCUAACGUUACGCAGUUGUUGGUCCACAUCAAGCCGGCAGUGUAAUCGCGAAGGUAAAUAUGAUGAAGGCAUGGCUUGGUGGCCUCCAGACCCUUUUACAGCCCACGUGAUCAAAUAGCUUGCGCGCGCAUUUCGGCCACGGAAGUGUUGUUGUUCCCCAGUGGUUCUAACCUGUUAGCAACUCAGAAAGUUUAUUAAAACGGUUUCCCAGCAUCAAAAUGUCUGGUUCUUGCGUUUGGUUGCACUAAUAUAAUAUACUAAUAUACGUAUAUAUGUAUCUGGCCACUUUAUAUUUGGCCAUCUGCUAACGUCUUCUAUCCACUCCACUAUAGUAUACGGAUCUGGUAGAUGUCUUGAAAAAGUUGAUAAGUCAACUUUUUAAAAUAACUAACUUUGUCUGUGUUACUUCACUGCUGAUUCUUGCCAUACUUCCGUUGCCACAUCAUCAUUGUGUACAAAGAGUAAAAGGGUCUAUAAAGACUCAUACAAAAUACUCAAGUUUUUUCAAGAGGACAUCACCCAACCCAUCUAAAGGAUGAAAACAAUACUCUUGUUGAAUACUACAUAAGACAAACCAUCCUGACUUCACCAUCACCACCAUUAUCCCCUGCAUCGUGCCCUUCAUCAGACACCCAAAAUGCACCACAAACAUCACAGGCGAAGAAGAAGAAGAAAACGCACAACAAACCUUCCAAAAAACCCUCCUCCCCCUUCCCUCCUACCUAUGGCUGGAAACAACAUAA